rnacentral:tRNA from 1 species
GGGCUCUUAGCUCAGUUGGUAGAGCGCCUCCAUGGCAUGGAGGGGUCAAGGGUUCGAAUCCCUUAGGGUCCACCA